AUUUAUGAUGACUUACAUGGAAUCUUGUUUGGUUGAUUGAUGACUUGCUGUUGAGACUCAGAAAUCUGAUUUUC
rfam:Pteropus alecto contig89379, whole genome shotgun sequence.